CAGCCGUAAACGAUGCGCGUUAGGUGUAUCGACGACCACGAGUCGUCGAGGUGCCGAAGGGAAACCGUGAAACGUGCCGCCUGGGAAGUACGGUCGCAAGGCUGAAACUUAAAGGAAUUGGCGGGGGAGCACCACAACAGGUGGAGCCUGCGGUUUAAUUGGACUCAACGCCGGGAAGCUCACCGGAUAAGACAGCGGAAUGAUUGCCGGGCUGAAGACUCUGCAUGACUAGCUGAGAGGAGGUGCAUGGCGUAGACGU
rnacentral:rRNA from 1 species